ensembl:lncRNA
GUCACAUCGAGCCAAGUUGUCUGUCAGGUGCUGCAUGUACACCUCCUCCAGCUGCUUCUCCAGCAGCCCAUUCAACAACGAGUUAGACAUGGGCUCCAAACCUGCCUCGGACAGAUCAAAGCUGAUGUUCACACUGGGCCCCAUGGCCAGAUAACCCUGGUCUGGUAUGGAGGAGACGGGUUGGGUUGCCCCUUCUGGCACACGGCAGGACUCAGGGGCAGAGGAGUAAAGGGCGUGCUGGGGAAUGGUGGCUACCUGCACGUCGGGAUACUGUUCCAGGAGGCUGCAGUUGUCCAAGCAAACCACGAAGUCCGGGUCCGGGAGGAGGACCGGGGGACAGCCAGGGAUUAGGAGGCCUACAGGACCGUCAGGCACCACGUUUAGUCCCCUGCAUUGGGCGCGGCCUAGUUCCACCUUGCUCGGACCUGCAAACAGAAAGCUGCUCACCUCUGUUAGCUGAAUCUGUCUGUAGGUCUGUGGAGUCAGAGAGAAGGACGCUGAACUGAUCCGCAGCGUGUGCCUGCAAACUAGCCAGCUGGGGAGAAGAGACGAGCGCUCCGUCCUCCCUCCUGUAACGCAGCACUCUGAGGAAACCUUCGGCCAACAUGGCACAGAGCGAUAAAUGUUCGGUCCCUUUUUCAACCUUGUGAAUGUCGCUCUUGACUGCGAAUGGCAAGUCUCAUUGCAAACGUUGUCGUUAAGCUCUACUAGCUUGUUUCACUUCUGCAACUAUGAACUGGCCCCUACCAGUUACUUCCUUUAUUAGACGGCGAAUGAAAAUCCCAGUUUAGAGAAAGGAGGACAGGAAAUGUAUAGUCAGGCUGAAAAACUAUUUAAAAGUACCAACACAACAUCUGAAGAUAUUACAUUAUAAGUACGAGUCCUACAUAAAAGAUCAUUUUUUAAAUAUAAGUUAAUCAGUAUUGCUAGUAGUACAAGUAUUUUUUUAUAUAUAUUUAUUAUUAUUAAGUUUAUCCUGAUGCACAGGUGUGUACAUAAGCACGUUGAGUUGGAUCUACUUUAUGUGCAGGCAGGUAGCGGGGCCCCCUUCAAAGGGUCAAAAGAUGAAUCUGAGGGGUCCUAAGACAAUCAAUAGAGAAGGGAAGUAAAAAAAA